AAUAAUAUUUUAUUUUGGUAUUUUUAUUUCUUUGAAUCUUUUUUUACAUGUAAAUUUUAUUUGGUUUAAAAAACGCAUAAAUGCAGUAAUUAUAUUUAGUUUAUUAAGUAUAUUUAGAAUUAGAAAUUGAUUAUAAAAUUAACUAAUUUUGUGCCAGCAGUUGCGGUUAUACAAUUAAUUUAUGAGAAAUAUAAUAGCAAAAUAGUUUAUUUAAUUUAAAUUGUUAAUUGUUAUUUGUAAGUAAAAUUUAAAUUUUAAAAUUAAUAUUUAUUAAUAUAGGUUUAUGAAAUUUAAUUAUAAGACCAGGAUUAGAUACCCUGUUAUUUUGAAUGUAAAAUUGCUUGAGUAGUAAUUAGUAAGAAUAUAAAACUCAAAGAAUUUGGCGGUAUUUUAUCUUAUUAGAGGAACCUGUAAUGUAAUUGAUAUUCCACAACUUUAUUUACUUUUAUUAAAUUUAUUUGUAUACCGCCGUCAUGAAUAUAUAAGAAUAUAAAAAUUUCUUUACUUUUUAUUAAAUUUAUGUUAGGUCAAGGUGCAGUAUAUAAAAGAAAUAUAUGGGUUACAUUAUAUAUUAUGAAUGAAUUUAAUUUAAAUAAAAUUAAUGAAAUAGGAUUUAAAAGUAAAGUUAAUUUAAGAAUUAUAAUGAAUAAAGAUUCUAAAAUAUGUACACAUUGCCCGUCGCUCUUGUGAGUUAAUAUAAGAUAAGUCGUAACAUAGUAGGGGUACCGGAAGGUGUUCCUGGGAUUA
rnacentral:ncRNA from 1 species